rnacentral:rRNA from 1 species
UACGUAGGUGGCAAGCGUUGUCCGGAAUUAUUGGGCGUAAAGCGCGCGCAGGCGGUCCUUUAAGUCUGAUGUGAAAGCCCACGGCUCAACCGUGGAGGGUCAUUGGAAACUGGGGGGACUUGAGUGCAGAAGAGGAGAGCGGAAUUCCACGUGUAGCGGUGAAAUGCGUAGAGAUGUGGAGGAACACCAGUGGCGAAGGCGGCUCUCUGGUCUGUAACUGACGCUGAGGAGCGAAAGCAUGGGGAGCGAACAGG